rnacentral:rRNA from 1 species
CCCUUAGAUGUCCGGGGCUGCACGCGCGCUACACUGAAGGAAUCAGCGUGCUAGAAAACCUUGUUUGACAUGGCUAGGUAACCCGUUGAAAAUCUUUCGUGAUUGGGAUCGGGACUUGCAAAUGUGUCCCUUGAACGAGGAAUUCCCAGUAAGUGCGGGUCAUAAGCUCGCGCUGAUUACGUCCCUGCCCUUUGUACACACCGCCCGUCGCUGCCCGGAACUGAGCCGUUUCGAGAAGACUGGGGACUGCGAACUUUGGGCUGGAAAACAGCUUUUUGUUUGUGGAAACCACUUUAAUCGCAGCGGCUUGAACCGGGCAAAAGUCGUAACG